rnacentral:rRNA from 1 species
AACGGCCAUACCAUGCUGAAUAUAUCGGUUCCCGUUAGAUCACCGAAGUCAAGCAUCAUUGGGCGCGGUCAGUACUUGGCUGGGUGACCACCUGGGAACACCGCGUGCCGUU